GUGUCAGCAGCCGCGGUAAUACGAAGGUGGCAAGCGUUGUUCGGAUUUACUGGGCGUAAAGGGAGCGUAGGUGGUUAGGUAAGCCCUCCGGGAAAUCUUCAGGCUUAACCUGAAAAGGUCGGGGGGGACUGCCUGGCUAGAGGACGGGAGAGGAGCGCGGAAUUCCCGGUGUAGCGGUGAAAUGCGUAGAGAUCGGGAGGAAGGCCGGUGGCGAAGGCGGCGCUCUGGAACGUUUCUGACACUGAGGCUCGAAAGCGUGGGGAGCAAACAGGAUUAGAAACCCGCGUAGUCC
rnacentral:rRNA from 1 species